rnacentral:rRNA from 1 species
AGAGUUUGAUCCUGGCUCCGGACGAACGCUGGCGGCGUGCCUAAUACAUGCAAGUCGAGCGAGCUUGCCUAGAUGAUUUUAGUGCUUGCACUAAAUGAAACUAGAUACAAGCGAGCGGCGGACGGGUGAGUAACACGUGGGUAACCUGCCCAAGAGACUGGGAUAACACCUGGAAACAGAUGCUAAUACCGGAUAACAACACUAGACGCAUGUCUAGAGUUUGAAAGAUGGUUCUGCUAUCACUCUUGGAUGGACCUGCGGUGCAUUAGCUAGUUGGUAAGGUAACGGCUUACCAAGGCAAUGAUGCAUAGCCGAGUUGAGAGACUGAUCGGCCACAUUGGGACUGAGACACGGCCCAAACUCCUACGGGAGGCAGCAGUAGGGAAUCUUCCACAAUGGACGAAAGUCUGAUGGAGCAACGCCGCGUGAGUGAAGAAGGGUUUCGGCUCGUAAAGCUCUGUUGGUAGUGAAGAAAGAUAGAGGUAGUAACUGGCCUUUAUUUGACGGUAAUUACUUAGAAAGUCACGGCUAACUACGUGCCAGCAGCCGCGGUAAUACGUAGGUGGCAAGCGUUGUCCGGAUUUAUUGGGCGUAAAGCGAGUGCAGGCGGUUCAAUAAGUCUGAUGUGAAAGCCUUCGGCUCAACCGGAGAAUUGCAUCAGAAACUGUUGAACUUGAGUGCAGAAGAGGAGAGUGGAACUCCAUGUGUAGCGGUGGAAUGCGUAGAUAUAUGGAAGAACACCAGUGGCGAAGGCGGCUCUCUGGUCUGCAACUGACGCUGAGGCUCGAAAGCAUGGGUAGCGAACAGGAUUAGAUACCCUGGUAGUCCAUGCCGUAAACGAUG